AUACCACUUAUAAUUAUAAUCAAAUUAUUAUAUGUUUUGUUAUUUUUGAAUUAUCAUUUAUUUAAGUCUUACUUUAAGCAAGAAUACGGGUAUUUAUAGUCUUGUUUUGUGAAAUUGUCAGUAUUAAGUCUUCCGACGACCUUUACUCUAAUACAAUGUAAAUGGCCGCGAUCGAGAGGUUUGACGGCCAAUCUAUUUUUAGUAACGGAAAACCCCUCUUGUGACGUCACGCCAAAACCUCCUAAAGUCACCAGUGGGCGGGGCAUUUUUAAUUAUAUGGAAAUAGUUAAACCUUGUUAACACUAUAGAGGCCACAAUUAUUGUCCGAUCUUCAUGAAAUAUGGUCAGAAGAUUUGUCUUAUUGAUAUCUUGGAUGAGUUCGAAAAUGGUUACGUUUGCUUGAAAAACAUGGCUGCCAAGGGGCGGGGCAUUUUGUUAUGUUCCCCCAAAUUUUUUUGGGAGGGAGCAUAUAGUCGCCGCUUUGUCCAUCCGUUCGCAAUUUUUGUCUGGGCUAUUUCUCAGCAAUUAAUCAUCGGAAUUCAAUUAAACUUUAUGGGAAGCUUUACUACAAAGAGGAGAUGUGCAUAUUAUCAGCCGGUUCUGGUCGGAUGAUUUUUCACAGAGUUAUGGCCCUUUUAAAUUUUCCAUUAACUGUUCAUAUAGUGCAAUUCUUGUCCCUCAACUACUAGACGUUUCCUUUUAUCUGCAUAUAUAGUGCAAUAUUGUGACAAAAAAUCUUUGGGGAGCAUCACCCGUCUCCGACGGUUUCUUGUCCUUAUAUGGCCAUAUAUGGCUAUAGUAAAAUCUUGUUAACACUCUAGAGGCCACAUUUAUUGUCCGAUCUUCAUGAAACUCGGUCAGAAGAUUCAUCCCAAUAAUAUCUUGGACGAGUUAAAAUAUGAUGCCGGUUGGUUGAAAACAUGGCCACCACGGGGGCGGGGCAUUUAUUCUUAUUUGGCUAUAGUAAAACCUUGUUAACACUCUAGAGGUUACAUUUAUUUUGCGAUCAUCUGGAAUUUUGGUCAGAAGAUUUGUCCCAAUGAUAUCUUGGAUGAGUUCGAAAAUGGUUUAAGUUACUUUAAAAGCAUGGCUAAGAGGGGCGGGGCAUAUGGCUAUUGUAAAACCUUGUUAACACUCUAGAGGCCACAUUUAUUGUCCAAUCUUCAUGAAAUUUGGUCAGAAGAUGGGUCUCAAUGAUAUCUCGAAUUAGUUCGAAAAUAAUUAUGUUUGCUCGAAAAACAUGGCUUCCAAGGGGCGGGGUAUUUUUCCUUAUAUGGCUUUAGUAAAACCUUGUUAACACUCUUAACGCCACAUUUAUUUUCCGAUCUUCAUGAAACGGGUCAGAAGAUUUGUUCCAAUAAUAUAUUGAUAUCUCAGGUGAGCGACUUUGGGCCUUUCAGGCCCUCUUGUUGUCCCCAACCGGUUUCUUCGGAGGGGACUUAUGGUUUGCGCUCCGUCUGUCAGUAAGUUUGUCAGUCAGUCUGUCGGUCAGUCACACAUUUCUGGAUCCUGCGAUAACUUUAAAAGUUCUUAAUAUUUUUUCAUGAAACUUGAAACAUGGAUAGAUGGCAAUAUGGACAUUAUGCACGUCAUUUCAUGUCGUUCCUACGUCAAAAAAUUUGGUUGCUUUGGCAACAAAUAGACUAGAAAUACUGCUGAAAAUGGUGGUUUUCUGGAUCCUGCGAUAACUUUAAAAGUUCUUAAUAUUUUUUCAUGAAACUUAAAUCAUGGAGAGAUGGCAAUAUGGACAUUAUGCACUUAAUUUCAUUUUGUUUCUACGUCAAACAUUCUGGUUGCUAUGGCAACAACAACAAUUCUGACAAUGAUGGAAUAUCUGACAAUGGUGGAGCCCGUAGGGGACUAUAUUGCUUGGCAAUAGUCUUGUUCUUAAUUUUGUUUCUAAGACCUUAUAUCUAUAUUACCAAAAUCAAGAGAGCAGUCUUUUUAUUGAUCUCAUUCAUAGAACAACUUUAAAAUAUCAAGACUCCCACCGAUUAAUUUAGAAUAAAUAAAUUACUAAAAAAGAUACCGGACUAAAAAAGAUACCCGGUAUCAAGAUUUUUUAGUUUCCCCCAUUUACCAGUAAACACUUACUUUGGAUAAAUCUCAUUCUCACAAUCUUUGAGCAGCACUCAGCUAUUUCAAUAUAUAUAAGUAUUGUUCUGGGAAAAUCGGACUAAAUGCAUGUGCGUAAAGUGUAGUUCCAGAUAAUUCAGGUAUGACACUUUCUGCAUAAACCAGAUUUUUAUUUAGAAGCAGAGACCUCUGUUAAACAAGAAAUUUCAUAAAGGCAGAAAUCGUCCUCCCAGAUUAGCCUGUGCCAACUGCACAGGCUAAUCUGGGACGACACUUAACUCACAUGUAUUACUCCCCAUUUCCCUCAAAACCCCGCUGCAUUAAAAUUUUAUAAUCUUUAUUCAUUUGUUUAAAAGAUGUCUCUUUUUAGCAAAAAUCCAAUUAUUUUAAAAGGCGGAAAUUUAUUAGCCUUCUUGAAUGAAACUGUGACACUAUGUACAUGCAUUAAGCCCAGUAUUCCCAGGACAUGGCUUAUACUAUAAUUUUCAUAUUCAUACAAUCUUGCAUGGAUAAUUUCAGUCCAUAUUCAAGAAGAACACAAGUCCAAGCCUCGGUAGUGACAUCGACAGUGAACUGCCCGACCCCGAAGAUGCCGACAUGAACUUGUCUGAUGUGGAGAACGGGCCUUCGAUGAUGUCAUGUGAUGUGUCAUGUGACCUGGAGGAAGGGUACACGGCCCGGGAUGUGGUGGCUGCUGAGGAGGCGUGGCAAAAAUACCUGAACAGGAACGACAGCGUCAUUGUGGAAACUUUCCAGGGGCAGUUCAAGUCUACAUUGACCAUCACUCCUUGCGACUAGACGAGUUGGUGACUUCCGGUCAAAUGUAAACAGAUUUGUCUGUUGCAACAACGAAAACAAUCAACUUCGGUUGAUAAACAACUCAAAACUCUACAGGAGACUCUGAAAGAUUACAACAGCGUGGCAAGCCUUAAGGCCGAUCAGUUGAAAAAGCUUGGUCAACUGUACAACAUUGACCCCAAGUUCCCUAAAAAGGCACGGAUUGUGUUACUCUGCUCUGUACUUGGCCUUUCAACAACCGGUCACAUUCAGACAGUGGCAACAAGAGACUCCUGUCAGCAUUUAAAUGAUGAUCAACAGAAACACUGACUGUAAUAACUGUUAUAUCGCUGUGAUAACUGUACAUUUUUCGAGAAAAUAUUUUCUAAACUAAUAAAGCUUAUUUGUCCAAAAUUUGUUGUAUAACU